UCUCCGUAGGUGAACCUGCGGAGGGAUCAUUACAGAGUUCUCGCCCUCGCGGGUAGAUCUCCCACCCACUGUUAUCGUUACUGUGUUGCUUUGGCGGGCCGCCGGGCCCCGCUCGGCCGCCGGCUCCGGCUGGCGCGCGCCCGCCAGAGGCCCAGCAAACUCUGAAUGUUAGUGUCGUCUGAGUACUAUAUAAUAGUUAAAACUUUCAACAACGGAUCUCUUGGCUCUU
rnacentral:misc_RNA from 1 species